rnacentral:rRNA from 1 species
GAUGAACGCUGGCGGCAUGCCUAAUACAUGCAAGUCGUGCGGGGGUCUUCGGACCCUAGCUGCGAACGGGUGAGUAACACGUGGGCAACCUGCCCGUAAGACUGGGAUAACUCCGGGAAACCGGUGCUAAUACCAGAUAAUCUCUUUCUCCGCAUGGAGAAAGAGUAAAAGGCUUCGGCCACUUACGGAUGGGCCCGCGGCGCAUUAGCUAGUUGGUGAGGUAACGGCUCACCAAGGCGACGAUGCGUAGCCGACCUGAGAGGGUGAUCGGCCACACUGGGACUGAGACACGGCCCAGACUCCUACGGGAGGCAGCAGUAGGGAAUUUUCCGCAAUGGGCGAAAGCCUGACGGAGCAAUGCCGCGUGAGUGAUGACGGCCUUCGGGUUGUAAAACUCUGUUCUGAAGGAAGAAGUUCUGACGGUACUUCAGGAGAAAGCCCCGGCUAACUACGUGCCAGCA